AUGAAAUCAAAUUUGGUUCUAUAUAUAUAAUAACAUAAGGUUGUUUGGUUUUCUGGACAUUUUUGCAAAUAUACAUUUUAAAUCUACAUCCCUGAGUUGUUACAUAUUGAGCAUUCUUUCAGUUCCAGAUGUCCUUAUCUAUUGACUGCAUGCACAAAUUCACUGUUUGCAAAAUCUAAGUUAAUCUUCAUCCAGAUGGGACAUAGUUUUCACAGUUCAUUGAGGGGGUUAAUCCACCUUAAUUCUGAAAUGUGUAUGAGUCUAAAAUUAACUGUGUUUCUUUAGGGAAUGCCAGGACCCCCAGGAGAGAAGGGAGAGACCGGAAAUGUUGGCACUAUGGGCCCUCCAGGACAACAUGGCCCACGUGGCCCCCAGGGACCCAGUGGGGGAGAGGUAAGUGUCUUUGUGUUUUCCUUUCUGUCUAUCAGACCGCUGUGCAGUCAAGUUCAAGCAUAGGACAGUAGAUUAGUGCUGAUUAGGGGUUGUCGUACCAGUACUGCUGAGACAUAAUGAGAAGUCUUUGUUUCACGACUCCAAAAAACCCAUCCAGUGUAUCAACACUCUUCCGUACCGCAGAUGAACCCCCCCACCCCACAUACGACACCUCAUAUCUCUUUCCUCAGUCUUUCAUCCUCCCCAUAUCUCUUUCUGCCCACCCAUGAUUUUGAGAGUUGAAUUAUUAACAAGAAGUGGGAUAUGAUCCUUCUGCAAGAGUUAUAUUUACUUCUCUAUGAAUGAUUAAGGAAUAUUAGACUAUCAUCCUUGAGAGAGAGUUACAUUUACCUCUAUUAAUGGCCGCCUUUGAACAUCUCCCAUGUGUUAAUAAUUGAAAAGCGAGAGAACAGAGACAGAUGCGGCAGUGACCCGUACACCAGCACUCUCACAGAGCUGGAGAGGAAAAGAGAAGUGUUGUGCACCGGAGCUCUUUGUGCCAUCAUAUGAGAAGCAUCCAGUAUAAAUGUGCUGGUCAUCUAUUUGGCUGUGUGCACCUCACUUAAAGUCUCCAGAGGCAAAAGGGCAACCACUUCAGUUUAGACUCACCCAAGAUAUUCAUACUCAGCCACUGCAGCCAUAAACGCCUCUGCCAGGAGGAAGCUGGAUAGUGUGGCGUUUUACACCAUGCUUGGUAGUCUGUAAUCUCAUCACUGUAAUGUCAACAGUCUGCAACUAGAGUAGACAGCCUUGCAUGCAUUAUGUAUGAAACUGACUUAGUUUUGUUCUGUGUGGCAAGGGUCCUCAGGGCAUGCCGGGUGGAGUGGGCCAGCCAGGAAUGGUGGGAGAAAAGGUAUACCUCCCUCUCACUGUCCAUAAGUGUUUUUUGGUGAUUUAUGGGGAGGUUGUGUUUAUUUGUUGGAGGGUGCUGCCUCUGUAACUACGUAAACAUGUAAGCCUAAGUAUGAUAGAUGGUUGCUGUUCUUUCUUUUUGCUUCCUUCUCUUUGUCGGUCUCUAUUGCUCUUUCUCUAGGGUGAGGAUGGAGAAGCAGGCAAUCCAGGAAAUGUUGGUGAAACUGGCCCCCCUGUAAGUAAUGUCUUCCUGUUACCUCUUUUCUCAUUAGUCUUUGAUCCCCCUUGUAUCACUAAGCACCCUGUUGCUUUAAUGUCAAGGGAGAGAAAGGUGAAGUGGGUGAGAAGGGUGAUGCUGGCCCCCCUGGGGCUGCAGGACCCCCAGGAAUCAGAGGCCACACACUGGAUCAGAUGGACCCAAAGGAAACCCAGUGAGCAACUAUUCCCAUAGUUAAAACUGUCAGGAUAUUUAUACUCUGACACCAUCCAUUUUCCUCAAUAGGGUCCCCUUGGAUUUCCUGGAGACGCGGGACCCCCUGGAGAGCCAGGUGCGAAUGUAAGUGCAGCAAAACCUGCUUCAAUUCAAGCUUCAAGAUUGACACAUUUUGAUGGCAAAUUCACAUGGUGAUUUGAAUACAAUUUUUGGUAUUAGGGCAUUGAUGGUGGUCCAGGAACUAAAGGGGAUAAUGGCGAACCUGGUAAAGCUGUAAGUGGAGUAUUCAAGCACUUAGAGAUAUCGAUGUAAUGAUAUAUUUGAGAAGCUUAUUAAAUAAAUAUUCUGUUUUGAACAGGGACCCCCAGGAGCCUCAGGAGAGCCUGGCCCUCAAGGGCCACCUGGACGGAGGGUGAAUUUCAAUUUUGCACUGAAUGACUCCCAUACUAUAAAAGUAAAAACUGUAAUCUAAUCACUAGUCUCCUUCUACACAGGGUCACGUAGGUCCUGAGGGAAAUGAAGGGAAACAGGGAAAAAAUGGGGCAAAGGUGAGAUUAUUAAAUA
rnacentral:lncRNA from 1 species